GACGAACCGUGCGAACGUUGUUCGGAAUCACUGGGCUUAAAGGGCGCGUAGGCGGGCUGCCAAGUCCGGGGUGAAAUCUUUCGGCUUAACCGGAAAAGUGCCUUGGAUACUGGCGGUCUAGAGGGAGGUAGGGGCAUGUGGAACUUCCGGUGGAGCGGUGAAAUGCGUUGAUAUCGGAAGGAACGCCGGUGGCGAAAGCGACGUGCUGGAUCUCUUCUGACGCUGAGUGCGCGAAAGCUAGGGGAGCGAACGGG
rnacentral:rRNA from 1 species